GUCUAGUUUAAGCGAUUUAAACGGUGAGACUGCGGACGGCUCAUUAUAUCAGUUAUAGUUUAUUUGAUGGUCGAUUACUACAAGGAUAACCGUAGGAAUUCUAGAGCUAAUACUUGCACUUCAAGGUGAUUUAAUCAUCACCUGCACUUAUUAGAUUUACCACCAAUGCUCUUCGGAGCUUCGGUGAUUCAUAGUAAUUUAGCGGAUCGCUACGACUUCGGUCGCGACGCUUCAUUCAAAUUUCUGCCCUAUCAGCUUUCGAUGGUAGUGUAUUGGACUACCAUGGCUUUGACGGGUAACGGAGAAUUAGGGUUCGAUUCCGGAGAGGGAGCCUGAGAAACGGCUACCACAUCUAAGGAAGGCAGCAGGCGCGCAAAUUACCCAAUCCCAACGCGGGGAGGUAGUGACAAGAAAUAACAACAACUAACCUAUUUCAGGUGAGUUGAUUGGAAUGAGUACAAUCUAAACACCUUAACGACUAUCCAUUGGAGGGCAAGCCUGGUGCCAGCAGCCGCGGUAAUUCCAGCUCCAAUAGCGUAUACUAAUGUUGUUGCAGUUAAAAAGCUCGUAGUCGGAUUUCAGUAGGCUCAGUUUAGUCUUCAUUGUAAGAUCUAUAUGGGCCUGCUUCUUUGACAGAAACUUCUAUGUUAUUCAUUUAGCGUGGGCAGCGACUGUCUCUUUUACUUUGAGAAAAUUAGAGUGUUCAAAGCAGGUAGAUGCCUGAAUAUUACUCUUGGAAUAAUGCUAUAAGACUUUGGUUCUAAUGUAUUGGUGAUUGGGACCAGAGUAAUG
rnacentral:rRNA from 1 species